UACGUAGGGGGCUAGCGUUGUCCGGAAUGAUUGGGCGUAAAGCGCGUGUAGGCGGUUCGGUAAGUCCGCUGUGAAAGUCGGGGGCUCAACCCUCGGAUGCCGGUGGAUACUGUCGGGCUUGAGUACGGAAGAGGCGAGUGGAAUUCCUGGUGUAGCGGUGAAAUGCGCAGAUAUCAGGAGGAACACCAAUUGCGAAGGCAGCUCGCUGGGACGUUACUGACGCUGAGACGCGAAAGCGUGGGGAGCAAACAGG
rnacentral:rRNA from 1 species